CCCAAAGCCAAAUUCACCUGCUUCCUCCAGCCUUUUCCUGACCCUCCACCUGAAUCCCACCUGAUCACUGUUGUUUGGGGUUUUUUUUGCAGUCAAACAGCAUCAGAACAGAAGAGAAGAAAGUUGAAACAACUGGAGGGAGACAUGUAAUUGUGCCUGGAGCCAAGGUGGUUGGAGAGAGCCUUGUGUGGCCCAAGUACCACUAGCUAGCACAAGGGGAAAGUACAUGUGUCCUUAUCAGUAAAGCCCUCAAAAGUUCAUUGGUAACACUGACUUUAUUCAAUCCUUAAACAUUUACCAUGUGUUAAUAGCACAGCCUGAUGAAGCUGUGGGUUUUAUACAUAGAUAUACAUAGGUUUUAUACAUAGAUACAUUCAUUUAUGUGUGUGCAUGUUUAUACAUAUCAAAGCACUCAGAAGAUGCAGUUCUCCUGUAUCCUGUGUCCGUAUCCAGAAGACAAAGUCACACUUUGGGGCAUUCCUGCCAAACUGGGACUGACCAUGGGGUCAGCCCUGGGUGAGAUCAAGGUGGCUGUGGAGGACUGAGCCUUGACUGCCGCCAUCCUCAUGUGAGACACGGCUUUGCUCCGGAGGAUGGACACAAGAGAGGGGUUUGCCUCCUAAGAACACAGAUCUGUGCUAACCCCCCUACUCCAACCUCAUGAAGAGAUUGGAGAGAAGGCGUCAGCCAGCCCUCUGAUCUUGUUCCCACCACUUGGAACCCGAUGGAAUUACAGGAAGAAAAAGCCUGGCUCCUGGGAGGAGCGAGUUUAAUAUAAACAGCCUAUAUAAACACAAACACGUACAAAAGCAGAAUCAUCUUCCAAAUAAAUAAAUAGCUGCGUUUGCUCCAGUUACACGCUAGCAGCAGUCAGCUUAAGCCCUGUGGAACCAAGCAAGCUCACCCCUCCAGACACCUCGCCAGAGAACCUGGCAUCUCCCCCUGCCCAUAACAACCCCCAAGUCCUCCGGGACGCUUGGAAGCCUCUCAGCGAGGACACCCACCAGCUCAGGAAGCCUUCUGCUGCCGGCGAGGCGCGGUGCCCUCCUGCAGCCGGGCCGAGAGCCUCAGUGGCGGCUGUCCGAUGUGCACAGCAGCUGUCCGCCCUGCUCGGGGCAGCUGCAGCGCUGGGAGCCGCGGAUGGUGACGGUGCCGGCGGGCACGGCCAUCUCCUCCUGGUCGUAGCACACACACUGGGGACAGCCGUCGGCCCGCGGGCUGCCCAGGGCGAGGCAGGCGGGCCCGGGGCUGGGGCAGAGCGGCGUGCAGGCGAUGUCCCCGCCGGGCCCGCAGGUGCACAGCUUGCGGCCGAAGUCGAUGUAGAAGGAGCGGCCGGCGGGGACGCUGGAGAAGCCCUGCAUGUCGCAGUCAUCGUGCAGCCUGUUUUCAGAGAGUCAGUCCUGGCGUGAAAUUCCCUCCCUGUGACUGCUCCCUCCUCCUUCUCCACUCACACCUUGGAUGUGCGGCACCUGGCAACCCAUGCUGAAUCCUUUUCCUGUUUAAAGGCUGAGGACUCUUUUUUUUUCAGCUUUUCAAGAUUCAGUUUCUCCUUUAAGUGCAUUUUUGGAUCCCUUCCCUCUGUCUGAGUGACCUUAGGUCCUGCUGUAUUAAAUACACCUUUUUCCUUCCUGCACUGGGUCUCUCCAGGUCUGGUCUCUUCUUCCAUUGCCCCAAUGCUUUGAUUAUGUUUAUAUCAUCACCCUUUGAUAGCCCCAAUUUCCUACUCUUGCAGGCAUGCAGCUACUCACAAUUUCUUAACAUCUCUUUAAACAAAAACAUUUGUAAAUUGCAUAACCAUAAAGAAAAAACUUGAAAGCACAGACUCUGUCCAUUAUCAUUUAAAAAAAUAAUAAUACUUUCAAGGUUUUCCGGUUUAAAAGCAAGCUUUUGCUAGUUUAAGUUACUUAGACUCGCUUUAUCUUUGCUGGAGUUCACUGUUCUGCCCCUUCCUUUCAUUCACACAUUUUAAUCCAGUGGUUAUUUUACUGCUGUUCCCAGAGGACUGGCACAGAACCCAGACAUGCUCCCCAUGGAAAAGCUGCAGCUGGAAAGGAUCUCCCUUCCCCAAGCCAAGAGCUCCCUCCUGGCUGCCCCAACUUCAGCCACAUCAGCUUCAGUCCCAUCCAUUGCCAAAACAUCUGACCCCACCCAGCAGUGAAAUUGGGCACCUUUGGCAGAGCCAAUUUCCAGCAGAACCGCGCUAUGGGUCUGGCACUGAGCAGCAUCAACAGCCUCCCGCUAUUUCCUGGGGAAACCUUCAUCCUCCCCCUCCCUUCUGGGGAUCCAGGCUGGCCCUGGCCCGUUCCCAGU
ensembl:lncRNA